rnacentral:rRNA from 1 species
AACGAACGCUGGCGGCAUGCCUAACACAUGCAAGUCGAACGAGACCUCCGGGUUUAGUGGCGCACCGGUGGGUAACCCGUGGGGACCUACACUUAGGUUCGCAAUAACUCCCCGAAAGGGGUGCUAAUACCGGAUAAUGUCUUCCGACCGACGAUUUGUUGCGCUUGGGUGGGCCCGCGUUGGAUUAGCUGGUUGGUAGGGUAAAAGCCUAUCAAGGCGACGAUCCAUAGCUGGUUUGAGAGGAUGAUCAGCCACACUGGGACUGAGACACGGCCCAGACUGCUACGGAAGGGAGCAGUGGGGUAUAUUGGAAGAUGGGCGAAAGCCUGAUGCAGCAAUGCCGGGUAAGUGAUGAAGGCCGUAGGGUUGUAAAGCUCUUUUACACGAGAUGUUAAUGACGGUACCGGGAGAAUAAGCACCGGCUAACUACGUG